rnacentral:rRNA from 1 species
UACGAAGGGUGCAAACGUUGCUCGGAGUUACUGGGCGUAAAGCGCGCGCCGGCGGCGGUGUAAGCAUGGCGUGAAAGCCCCAGGCUCAACCUGGGAGGGUCGUCGUGGACUGCACCGCUUGAGGGCGGUAGGGGCUGGUGGAAUGCCUGGUGUAGUGGUGAAAUGCGUAGAGAUCAGGCGGAACACCCGUGGCGAAGGCGGCCAGCUGGGCCGUCCCUGACGCUGAGGCGCGAAGGCGUGGGGAGCGAACGGG